CCAGGAACUAUGUAUGUUUGCCUCAUGACAUCACUGAAGAUUAGGCCCUUCAAAAUUCUACUGAACCAUCAGGAGCUCUAGUGGAAGAGACUUCAGAUGAUUCUCUAUAGAAGGGUUUUCCCACUUAUUUAUUUAAAAUGCUUUGUUCUAGGCCUACAGCUCCACAGGCUACCCCAAAAGACAUGUACAUGAUCUAGACACCAACCUUAUAGAGGUUGGAGACGCUCACUCAUAGGGGAUGGAUUUAGUUCCUCCCACUCUCCCCCUAACUAUAUCCUCAUUAGGGGAAUAUUUAUUUUUAAAGACACAGAGAUUUUGUAUAUAAAUAAAUUAUCCUCAUUAUGUAGUUCCCUACUGACCUCAUGAAAAGACAAUGAGGUCAAUGUCUUGAUAGCUCAGUCCAACUUGUUAUUUAUGACCUGUUGUUAUCAAUGGUUGUUCUCAUUGCUACUUUUUGACCAACUAAUACCAGGAAGAACCCUAGGGGUAAUGCUUAGGAAUUACUUGGUUUCUGAGGUUAUGAGCAGUGCCAUAGAGAUGGAAGAUCCCAGUAUACUGAGAACUAACAUAAUUUUGCAUAAUAGAGGAAAUCUUAGUGAAAAAAUAGAGUCCUCCCACCUCAUCCUCAUUUGUCUCUUUCUCUCAUUCCAUAUGAAAAGAUCUUUGGGUAAGAAAUGUUGCUACAGUUCUAUGGAGCACCAAGUAUAUUGGGGCUUGUAAUAUACAUAAUAAUAAUAAUAAUAGCUUGUUUUACAAAGGUUGCGAAGCACUUUGAGAUUCUUUCAUAUGCCAUGUAGUUAACAGCUUCCUCAACCUUCUUUUAAACAUGGAGAGCUAGUCUUGUUUAUAGCUACUAGAAUUGCCCAGCUUUGCUACUGUUACAUUUUGUACUUGUGUGGUCAUGUUCAAGGGUAAAUACUUGGCAUUUAUAUUAGGUGGGGAGUGUAUAACUGGGUGGACUAUCAGGGAGCACAACUCCUUUAUGAACUUAUUUUGCUACAGUAUAUCAUAUCUUGACACAAAAGGUUGCUCAUUAACUAGACUUGUGACUACAUGUUACUUUAAUUGUUUUUAUUUGGCUCUCUGCAUGGCCAGGGGCCUUUUCUAUGUAUUAAUAAACAUUACAUUAAUUUUC